GACGAACGCUGGCGGCGUGCCUAAUACAUGCAAGUAGAACGCUGAAGGAGGAGCUUGCUUCUCUGGAUGAGUUGCGAACGGGUGAGUAACGCGUAGGUAACCUGCCUGGUAGCGGGGGAUAACUAUUAGAAACGAUAGCUAAUACCGCAUAAUAGCAGUUGUUGCAUGACAACUGUUUGAAAGGUGCAAUUGCACCACUACCAGAUGGACCUGCGUUGUAUUAGCUAGUUGGUGGGGUAACGGCUCACCAAGGCGACGAUACAUAGCCGACCUGAGAGGGUGAUCGGCCACACUGGGACUGAGACACGGCCCAGACUCCUACGGGAGGCAGCAGUAGGGAAUCUUCGGCAAUGGACGGAAGUCUGACCGAGCAACGCCGCGUGAGUGAAGAAGGUUUUCGGAUCGUAAAGCUCUGUUGUAAGAGAAGAACGAGUGUGAGAGUGGAAAGUUCACACUGUGACGGUAUCUUACCAGAAAGGGACGGCUAACUACGUG
rnacentral:rRNA from 1 species